UAAAUAUGUAUGUAUAUAUGAGUAUCUAUCUUCUCCUUCAUUUUGGUGAUAUGUAUAUAAAAAAGUCGUCCGCCCUCAUUUACAUAAAGUUAAUUAUAUGAACCCUCGUUCAGAAGACGCCACGAAACGUCAAUUGGUGUGAUCACCAUUUAGCACUAAAAUGUAUAUGUAUAUAUAUCACAUUAUAGUAUAUAAACGAUGCGGCCAUAAACUGGAUCGUUCUGCACCUUUUUAAUGAUCAUUGCAGUUAUGCGCUCGCCUGAGUUUUAUGGACCUGCUGCACACCGUAGACGUUGCGUCGACAAUUUUUCCCAGAAAAAAAAACAUGCAAUCAGCCCCCGGUCAAAUGCAGUCACAGAUACAGAUACAACAGGGCCCAGGCAAAUGCACUCGGCACUUAUUAGGCUUUUGAUAUAUGUAUCUGCCAAGCGGGACGACAACCGGGACGUCUACGAUGGUGAAGUUUUUUUGGGCGUAUGGCGAGUGGGCAUGGCUGGUGGCAUGAUGUUUGUAUUAUUGUUGGAAAUAAACUCUGAUUUUAUAUUGUUGGAAUUAAUGAUUUUGUUCCCCUAA
rnacentral:sRNA from 1 species